GAAUAAAGACUUUAUAAGUAUUGUAUAGAUGCAUUACGGGGUAAUUACUCCUUGGGCAGUAAGACGCACAGUCCUACUGCCAAGGGAGAUUUGCCCUGCAAUUCAUCGUCUACAACAAGUUACUUAGCCAAAGAACGGAGGAUCCUUUGCUUAAACAAGAGUUGGAUUGAUGUUAUAGAACGAAAUCGUUAUCUCCAUUGAUGCUGAAGAAAUGCUAACAGAAAUUGAAGGGUUAGCUCUUUUCCAUAAACGACCAAGUUAGUGGAGUUUUUGCCAUCCAUCUAGACUCGAUGCUCAUCAAUUCAUCGCCAUUCUGAAAUCGACGAUGCCAUUGCGGAAGCCAAACCGGAGGACGUAUCAGUGAAAUUGAAAGAACUACUGGGUUCAGGCUUGUGGUCACAAUUGUGGGAGGUGGAAUCAAUGAUUACCCCACACACGUUCAUAUGAAAAGUAAUCUAGAAAAUGUGAUUCCAGCAAGUAAUCUAUGGUUUCGAGUUUCCCUUUGUUUCCACCAGAUUUAAACUAGAAAUGAGUAGAAUAAAAAGUUAUUGGUUUG